AGCACCCAUGGCAGCCCGUCAAGCAGGAGCCGCAGUCGCCCACCGGCCCCCAGAGGAACCUGCCCGUCGGCGUCCCUAUCCCGACCAGCGGUCCCGCAAAUGUUCGCAGCUUCAUCCCUCGUGCAGCCGGGCAGCAGGGCCCGAGAUUUUAAAUGAAAACUAGCUGCCAGUUUGGACAGGCAUGUGUUUUGUGGCACGCAGCCAUGUGAGGAAGCAGUGGAGAAAUGAGUGAAGCAUAAGUCCUAACAUGUACAUCACAGUGUGUAUCAUGUUAACCUUUUGUCUUAUGUAAACUUUUGUGUGGGAUAACUGAAUUAAGAGAAUUGACCUCUUUGGUGUUGUGUUUCCAAAAGUACUGAUAGAAUGUAAUGUAUUGCUAGUAGUUGCUGAAGUUAGAAAUGUAGCUGGCAGAUGUUUUCCCAUGUACAGGGUAUUACACUGUGUCCAUAGAGAAAGGGCACUGUGAUAAACUUUGCCAGUUACUACUGACUACAUACAUUUAUCUUGACUGUAAUGUCAGUGUCCCCCAUGUGUGUCCAUAUGUGUGAUACUGCACAUACCCAAAAUGAGGAGGAAAAAUAAAAUUAAAAGAAAGUGCAGAAGAAAAUAUAAUCUUUCCAGUAGUCUGUUAUAUGCAGAAAUUGAUGUAUAUUCUUUUUAAGAACUAUAAGAAAUAAUGUGAAGCUUGUGUAGUUUUAAAUGUUAAUGUUGUUAUCAUAUAUAUUUUAUUGUAAAGGAAACAUUAUUAUCAGUCAUGUGUAUACAAACAUGUAGUUUCUUUUUUUACUUGGCAAAGAAAGCUGAAGACCUGGCCAGAAAAGCAUCACACUCUGUUUACGCCCAAAAGCAAAAGCGGUAAUAGCAUACACUCCAAUGUUUUUAGAAGUGUAGCACUUACUUUCUACUAUGGCCGAGUCUACGGUUUCCUUUGUCGGAUAACAAUGUAAUAAUGUGCGUGUGCGCCUGCAUGUGUGCACACCCAGGCGUGUGUGCGCAUGCUCAUGCCCACACACACACACACACACACACACACACACAAACACACACACACACACACACAAACUCGAGGAAAAUGUAGUUAUGUAUUGCAUGUUGUGUGAUUGAUGUUUUUGUCUUCUUGAUUACUAGUACUGCCAGAUAGAUGGCAUAAACUUUUGAUGAGACUGUAUGCUGUCAGAAGCUGCUUAUAAAUAAGCACACUCAAUACUGUCUUUGUUUCAUUACAGUUCUGGUAACUGUCAAAUAUAUGAGUUGAUGAAUUAAUUACUUCAAAUAUCAGACUCAAACUGGUGUUGGAGUUGUUAAUGUAAAGUGAGGAUCAAUUACGUGCCAAAUCAGUUAGACUGUACUAAUUUUGAAAGGCUUGUCAACUGAACAGUUCUCAUACCAGGGUGUUAGAAUUUUACAAUGUACAUUGGUUACACCGUUUUUGUGUUUACUAGGCUGUAAGCCAAAUGUUCUAAAAUACAAAAUAUAUAUUCACUGUCAUAAUAUGCUAGUGCAUCCAAGAGAAAGUGUGAAAUCUGCUUCACUUUCAGUUGUUGGCUAGAAUUAGUAUAAAGACAUUAUAGUGUUAGUAGGCUGCUGAAUGUUAACACAAAUGGCCAAUUAAGAUAUCUUUAGAUAUCUUCAGAAGAUUUUCAGCACAAACAAGUCAUCAUUUCCUGGACCAAUAUUUGGCUGGGAACUCUCAGGCAUUUUCAAGGCAAUUUGAAGUAUAUCACAGGAACACAAUCUACAAUUAUUUAUUCAUCAAGAUCCGCAUCUGCUUCUUUUACACUUGGGUCAAAAUGUGACGUGUUGUGCUAUCUCACAAUGCAUGCAUCACAAAUGAAACAGUGCAUCAGUUGUGUGCAUCAGAUACAAAAUAAUGCAGUGCAGUCUGGCAGAAAGUUCUGCGCUUAAAUGAUUUACCAGUCCUUUCUUUUAAUAGCUGCGAUACAGAAAUAUCUGUAUACCACCAUGGUUCAGAGGUUGCAGAGAUCAACAAAUGAAACCUCAAAUUGGUGGCAGGUGUCACAAAUAUCAAGUGAGAAUGGUUCUGAAUGGAAAAUGCUCUUAGAAAAAAAGACAAUGGAAUUCAUGAAUUGAUCUGAGAUCUGAUAAUUCUCUGUUUGCAAGCCUUAUUGGAUAUUUGAUCCUCUGGGACAACUUAAAAAACCACACUCAAGAUAGAAUAUUUAAACAUGUUUAGUCUUGAUGUGUUUAUAGUGUAAAUUAUGGGCCACAUUGUUGAUCAGUUCCUUUGUGCAAGAGAAACACUGCUGUAUUUGAAAGGUUUCUCCAGCUUUAUAUACUCUUUGCUCAUUUUGUAUGUUCCUAUGCAUUACAUAAUAUAGCUAAACAUCGCAACAGAUCCUUGUAGUUAUCGAUGUUUUCUUUGAAGAAGUGUUACAGUAGGUAUAUUAAAAGGAAAAAAAUUGGUUGUUGAUUUAUAAGAAGACAGAACAGGUGAUCAGUACUUGCGUUCAGUAGGCAAAAUUCCAAGUAAUAUUGUAAGACACACAAAAAAACUAGCUUUCACAGCUCUUAAUUCCUUUCUCGGGAAGUAAGGAGGGAUAUAUCUGGAAGGAUAGGCAAGUGGAGUUGUCCAGUAACAAGGAUACCACCCAGCAAUUGGAUUUUUGUAAUUUUUUUUAUAUUCAUGGAACUUGAAGUUCAUAAUUCAAAUAUCAAUAUCCCAAAGCAGGUUGAUGCAUCUCUAAAAAAAUUCUUGACAAACUUGACUUUGCAGUUUUCCAGUGAACUUGAGGAACUUUAACACCCUAAAAUGUUGGCAAUUUUCACAACAGGCAGUGUGGAUCACUGGGUAGCAUUGGAUCACGUAAUCAAUGGAUUGCUGGUUCGAAUCUCGCAGUGACUUUUUUCCAUUCAGUUUGAAUACCUACACAUUUAAAAAUAAAAUUCAUCAAAUAUAUGCUAAUUAUCACACAUCUAAUCAUUGUUUUUUGUGAGAAAUGCACAUCAUCUUGCUUUUAAUUACAUUCCGCAUCCAAAAUUCCAGACGUUCAUUGAAAAUAUAACUUCUUAACUGUCAAUAUAUUAGUAAAGAUUGUUAAUAAAUAUAGGAUGUUGCUUUUAAUGUAAAUGCUACUUAUGUUUAUAAUAUUUUUUAAUUUUAAUGAUCUUUUAUAUAGUAAUUAUAUUGAAGAAUUUAUAUUUGCAAUGGAAAGUGUAAUUUUACGUGUGUUAUGUAAUUAGAGACAAGAAGACAUACAUUUUUCAUAAAAAUAAUGAUUAGAUAUGUGCUAAUUAGCACAUAUUUGAUUAAUGUUAUAUUAAAUUAUGUAGUUAUUCAAAGUGAAUGUGGGAAAAAGUCCAUGGCGAGAUCGGAACGAGCGGUUCUAUGGUUACCUAGUUACCAUUCUCCAACACUGCUGAGUGGCCCAUGGUGCCUAUCAUGAAAAUCACCUUCAUUUUUGGGAAUUAAUUCUUGAAAUUCCAUGGAAAAUUUCAAAGUAGAUUUUCUUGAAAAUUUUUGUAGAGUUCCAACAAAUGGCUUUGACAUAUUUGAGUUUUGAACUCAAAUAGGUUCCUCUGAAGCUGCAGUCUGAAUGACCUGUCACUUCUUUUCAACCUCCCAAAGCCAAUAUCUUUUUCUUCCUGAAAAGAAACUAAUCAUUCUGCAGCCUAGGUAUAAUUUUUUUAGCUCUAUGUAUUGAUAGAACUUCGAAUUUUGUCUCCUGAAAAUAAGAAUUGGGCAACAGUUCCAUUUCUUUAUAAUUCUACAAAUAUAUGUGCAUUUGUAAAUAACUAGUCUGGAAUUUUUGUCAAUAUAACAACAGUUUUUGUUGUCAUAUAGUUCAGCAGCAAACCAAAAGAUGUUUGUUGUCUGUAUUUUAGUUGUGUUCUUCUUCAGCAUAUACAGGGUGUCCCAGCAGGAAUGGUCAGUAUUCAGGGAACAAUCAUUCAAAGCAAAAAAUUGUAUUUAGUGCGGGCUCUGAAAUGCGUUCCUUAAAAGCCAUGAGCACUUGUUUGGUAAAAAAGAUGUGUUUCUCAGUAGUGAAGAUGAAAAGUGCUCAUAGUGUGUAUGGUAUGCACUUUAGAGGCCAUGUUUACUAGGCUUUUAUGCUUUGACCAGUCUUCGUGGGACACCCUGUAUAUGACUAGCAGAAUUAUAAUUUUCAUGUUAUUUUUAAAUUUUACAUUUUUUGUAAGUACCUGAUUGCAGAGAGUAGUUUUUUACUUUUAUUUGUAUUCUGUAUCACCGUACUAUUAAAUGUUGAUUGUGCUAUAAUCUUCCUGUUCAAUAAAAGUGAGCACCAGCUCUAAAUUGUGUCAAAUUAACUGAAUAUGAUGCCAGUCACAGGAGAUCUUUGAGGAAGUAAUCACUUGCCACUCAAAAGGCCUGUGCCUAAGGCACUUGUCUCCCAGUGUGAAACUAUGUAUAUUACCCAUGUUGUAGGUCAACCAUUCUUAUCUGUUUUGGUUAUUUGAGCUACUCUUCCUUCCUCUUUCCCUUCCUUUCGAAAACUAUGAAUUAGCAAACUGUCCUUUUAAAUGACCAGUGUAAAAUGUGAUGUUUGUCUUGAGGACUGGCACUUUUCUCAGAGCACACAUUUCUCUCCUCCAGUUCGGUAUGCAGAAGAAAGAAACAGUUACGUUGACUUUAAC